CCUGAGGGUGGUACCCUGGCCGAUGCAUCUCUCUCUCACUAGUGCCUGGCCCAGGGCUUGGCCAAGAGAGGAGGCUUGAAUGAAUGAGAAGGGAAGAAAGGAGGGUCUCGGGUCACUUUAAACAGCCCUAGCUCCUGCACCCCUCGGUUAUCCCGGGUCCCUGAUCUGUCUGAGCCCUCCCCUAGCCUGGCUCCUACCGGCUCCUCACAGCAGGAUCCGCGAGGAUUUGGUUUAGGACCCCACUCCUGAAAAGGGGAUCCCAGGUUGUCCCCCAGUGUCCAGGUAGCUCCAGCCACAUCAGCAGAGUCAACAGGAUGUGCUGUACCAGGGCAGAUAAUCAGUAAGCAUCUAUUGAAAUCGCUGUGUGACCUUGGGAAUGUAUUGACAAGCAACUACGUGCCAGCCUGGGUGCCAGGGACCCUUUGGGAAGCAAGAAAAAGAGAUGGAAUCCCAGGGUUUUUUUCGAUUUCUCGGAGCACCUCUGCUCUCUUGACGUGUGGGAUCUGCACAGCUGGGUCAGCCACUGAAGUAGGACACGCAAGACUGACUCACCGUUGGGUCAGAUGAAGCCAGGCCCAGGCUGGUAUCCUCAUCUGUAUGGUGACAAUAUUACCUGGGGCCGUUGUGGUGAGGAGGAAAAUGGUAUUUGCACACCAAGUGCGCGGGACAUGUGUCCAGUGAGUGACAGCUGUGUUGUUAGUGGAAUGCAAGGAAAUGUGUGGGAGCCAGCCUGUGCCAUGAUGACAAACUGUGCCUCAGUUGUCUGCCCAUCCCUAAAA